CUCGGAUUGAACUUACGUUUUAAGUUGGAUAAACAAAUUAAAAUCGCGAAGUAAAAAGUUCACAUCGUAAUUUCGAAAUCCUUGGUUCCUUGUUGUGAACCCCUAAACAAAUGACCUUGAUAAUGAAAAACACCCGGAUGACAACAAUCAAUGGAUAUUGUACACUGUACGACAACGUUUCGAAAGUGAUGACAUUACGUUUGAUAAUAUUCUGGCUUUUUAAUCGGCCAUUCCAACAUUUCAAAUUAUUGAUCAUGGGAGUAAAUCGAAACUCUCGUCUUACAAUCCAAACAACGCGAGCAUUAUAAUGCAAAUGCAAACAAUGAAAAACGAAGUGAAAGUAUUUUAAUUUAUCAGAUAUAAUUUACAAUCAGAGAGAAUUUUUUCAUGCAAAAUGUCGGACGUCACAAGUCAUUAACUUCCGGUCAAAACAGAAACCUGAAUAAACCGGCUCACUGUCCAAAUCGGCCCUUUUUCAUGGUCCCGUAGCCGGCCGGUUUAUACAGGUUUUACUGUAUAAAU
rnacentral:lncRNA from 1 species